GACGAACGCUGGCGGCGUGCUUAACACAUGCAAGUCGAACGGAAAGGCCCUGCUUGCAGGGUACUCGAGUGGCGAACGGGUGAGUAACACGUGGGUGAUCUGCCCUGCACUUCGGGAUAAGCCUGGGAAACUGGGUCUAAUACCGGAUAGGAGCCAUUUUUAGUGUGAUGGUUGGAAAGUUUUUUCGGUGUAGGAUGAGCUCGCGGCCUAUCAGCUUGUUGGUGGGGUAAUGGUCUACCAAGGCGGCGACGGGUAGCCGGCCUGAGAGGGUGGACGGCCACAUUGGGACUGAGAUACGGCCCAGACUCCUACGGGAGGCAGCAGUGGGGAAUAUUGCACAAUGGGCGCAAGCCUGAUGCAGCGACGCCGCGUGGGGGAUGACGGCCUUCGGGUUGUAAACUCCUUUCGCUAGGGACGAAGCUUUUUGUGACGGUACCUAGAUAAGAAGCACCGGCUAACUACGU
rnacentral:rRNA from 1 species